rnacentral:lncRNA from 1 species
GGGGGGGGCGCAUUUAAAAAGUGGCAAAUGAGAAAUUACGGCAUUGCAUCUUCUGUGGUUUGUUCAAGAGAAUAGGAAGUCACCUGCUGCGUGAGUGGGCAGGUGGGGUCUGGUAGAUGGUGCUGGUGUAGGUGACGAAAAUACUCAGAUAUGAAAUGGUGGCAGCAGUGUAAAAGGGCAGGAGCCUUUUGUAAACUGCCUUAUAAAUUAAAAAAAAAAAUGUAGACUGGGUGCGGUGGCUCAUGGCUGUAAUCUCAACACUUUGGGAGGCCAAGGUGGGUGGAUCACUUGAGGUCAGGAGUUGGAGAUCAGCCUGGCCAACAUAGUGAAACCCUGUCUCUACUAAAAACACAAAAUCAGCCAGGUGUGCUGGUGCAUGCCUGUAAUUCCAGCUACUCUGGAGGCUGAGGCAGGAGAAUCGCUUGAACCUGGGAGGCGGAGGUUGCAGUGAGCCGUGAUUGUGCCACUGCACUCCAGCCUGGGCAACAAGAGAGAGAAAAAAACUCUGUCUCAGAGAGAGAGAGAGACAGAGAGAGAGAAAGGAAAGGAAGGGAAGGGGAGGGGAGGGGAGGGAAGAGAGAGAGAGAGAAAGAGAAAGAAAGAAAGAGAGACAGAAAGAGAGAAAGGAAGGAAGAAAGAAAGAAAGAAAAAGAGAAAGAAAGAGAAAGAAAGAAAGAGAGAAAGAAGUAAAGUCAAUGAUAAAGCAAGCAACACUUGAAUAUUACAAAAAUUGUGUAGGAGUCUAUGAAUGGUGGUAAUGUGGGAAACCUUGUCUUUAGAAAUCACCCAUUUCCCUUGAGGUCUCCUAGAUCAAGUCCAAAUAGUAUUAUAUUCUCCACGUUAGGACUGCCUUGAACUUCAGUUCACUUGAUUUUCCAAUCGCCUUGGCCCAUUCUCCACCUGCCUUCUCUCCUCUCCGCUGUGUUGGUGAAGCAAGCCCUGCUCCUGCCUUCCUCUCCUUUCUCCCUCCCUCCCCAGCAUUGGGAGUCUUGGGGCUCUGACGGGGGUCCCGCGAAGUCCCAGUGCUGUAAAUAGUGCCUGCCAUACCUUGAUGGAAUGUUCCAUACGAGCUACUGUUAUUAGGUGUGUUCCCCUUAUGGCUUUUCAAAAUAAAGUAAAAUAACACCGGCUUAGUUCUGAAAGGAACCCAGCCCUCCUUCUUUCUUUCCAAUCCGACUUGUGUGUCUACAUUUAAUUAAUUGGGCUUGUAGCUCAUAGAUCCUCUGAUUUGCACAAACAAUUAAGUGUAAUUACUUGGGAACACCCAUAAGGGCUCAUAAUCUAUUAUGCUUGGCAAAUUUGGCCAAACAAAAUUAGAGAUGCCGUUUCCAAAUCUGGUUCUGCUAUGUCUACUGUGCUCAUUCUUGGAAUAAACAUGCAAAGCAGAGUUGAUUUACACGUUCGGCCUUUGAUGACAUUGUGAUGUUGCAUCAUUUCUUCCAGGGCUAGAUGCCUUGUUUUCAGAAAGACUAAAGCCUUCUCUGUCCAAUUUUACUCAGUUCAUUUCACCAGAUACAUGGGACACCUUCAAGGACCAUACUUUGUUUCAAGCCCCCUUCCCCAACACACCAUGUACUAAGCACUCUGCAAGGUGCUCCAUGGGCAACUACCUUGUCCCAUCUUGAUCACUUCCAGAUGUUCAUUGCCCAGGAGACAAUUUUCAGCUUUAUAUUUUUUUGAAAUGAGUAUGUGGACACUUCUGAAAUCAAUUUUUCUUGUUGCCAUCGUUGCUAAUGUGAUUUCAUUUUACGUGCUCUGCUUGGCUUCCUGAUGAAUUUAUUCUUUGCACUUUCCUUGGAAUUUCUGAGUCAUAAAAAUUAGAGACUCCAUAUCCCCAGAGGUGAUGCCUUAUCAGACCUGUGCUGAGGACACUGGCCUUGCCUACAUGUGUGGCCCUUCAUCGGGAGACUGGCAAGAGAAGCACAGUUUGAGUUCAGUGAAAGGUCUGAGACAGGAUGACCCUGUUUUUAGGAAGCAUGCAGUAGAAGACCUAAGAAUGCAUGAAAACAAUAAAACAUCUUAGAUCCUUAGAAUAAACAAAGGAGACAAAGACAAAAUGAUCUCUUUGCUCCUCGGACAGAUCCUAAUUAAGUUAAGGUAGAUGAAGAAAUUAGGAUCAGGAGAUAAACGGGAUAAGGCCCUGCCCUCAACAUGCUUGCCAUUUAAUGAAGAGGAACCCAGGGAGAUAAGAUAUGUAGACAGAGGAAUGUGGGCCAUGCACUCAGAGCUGCAGAGACACAGAGCUAAGAGGGAAUAGGGAGUGCUUGCUUGCAGAGAUGAAACUUGCAAAGAAAGGAAGCUUCUAACUGAGUUAGAAGCGAGGGAAAGAAGAGAUGGAUGAAGGCCUGGGGAGCUAGAAAGAGAAAGAUUCCAGGAAAGAAGAAAGUGAUCUAAGUUAGCACUUCUCCAACUUGAAUAUGCACGGGUCACACCAGGGAUCUUAGAACGAAGCAAAUCCUGACCCAGUUAAUCUGGGAUGGGGUCCAAGAUAUUCUGCGUUUCUGUAAUGCCUCUGGUUCCUGGACCCCUCAUGGUACAGAGGGAGGACGCCCUGGCUAUAUUUGGAGGCCUCAGGCUAGAACUAAAAAUGAUAGGAAUUUGACAUUAAAAUUGUGAUCAAAUUCCAGAGGGACAUGAACAUCAGAAUGACUUGAUAACAUUGCUUGUUUUGAGCUUUUCCUUCAAAUUUUAGCCCCUGAUGUGGUUUGUUUACGGUAACAACAACAGGAAUACUCACUGAGCCACUACUACAUACAGGCACUUUGCUCAGUGCUGGAAAUACAGCAGUGAUCCAUGGACCAAAAUCCCUGUUCUAGUGCAGAUGACAUUCUUUCUAAUGAGGUGAGAAAGAUAAUAAGCAACACAAAUAAUAAAUAAGUAAGUGACUUAGUGUUAGUGA